UACAGAGUCUCAAGCGUUGUUCGGAUUCAUUGGGCGUAAAGGGUGCGUAGGUGGCGCCGUAAGUCGGGUGUGAAAUUUCGGAGCUUAACUCCGAAACUGCAUUCGAUACUGCGGUGCUUGAGGACUGGAGAGGAGACUGGAAUUCAUGGUGUAGCAGUGAAAUGCGUAGAGAUCAUGAGGAAGACCAGUGGCGAAGGCGGGUCUCUGGACAGUUCCUGACACUGAGGCACGAAGGCCAGGGGAGCAAACGGG
rnacentral:rRNA from 1 species